GAUGAACGCUGGCGGCGUGCCUAAUACAUGCAAGUCGAGCGAACGGACGAGAAGCUUGCUUUUCUGAUGUUAGCGGCGGACGGGUGAGUAACACGUGGAUAACCUACCUAUAAGACUGGGAUAACUUCGGGAAACCGGAUCUAAUACCGGAUAAUAUUUUGAACCGCAUGGUUCAAAAGUGAAAGACGGUCUUGCUGUCACUUAUAGAUGGAUCCGCGCUGCAUUAGCUAGUUGGUAAGGUAACGGCCUACCAAGGCAACGAUGCAUAGCCGACCUGAGAGGGUGAUCGGCCACACUGGAACUGAGACACGGUCCAGACUCCUACGGGAGGCAGCAGUAGGGAAUCUUCCGCAAUGGGCGAAAGCCUGACGGAGCAACGCCGCGUGAGUGAUGAAGGUCUUCGGAUCGUAAAACUCUGUUAUUAGGGAAGAACAUAUGUGUAAGUAACUGUGCACAUCUUGACGGUACCUAAUCAGAAAGCCACGGCUAACUACGUG
rnacentral:rRNA from 1 species